UACAGAGGGGGCGAGCGUUAAUCGGAAUUACUGGGCGUAAGGCGCACGUAGGUGGCGACGUAAGUCGGGUGUGAAAGCCCCGGGCUCAACCUGGGAAUUGCAUUCGAGACUGCAUUGCUGGAGUACGGAAGAGGAGGGCGGAAUUCCCGGUGUAGCGGUGAAAUGCGUAGAUAUCGGGAGGAACAUCAGGGGCGAAGGCGGCCCUCUGGUCCAGUACUGACAAUCAAGUGCGAAAGCGUGGGGAGCAAACAGG
rnacentral:rRNA from 1 species